rnacentral:tRNA from 1 species
AUUUCAAUAAAAACAGUAUGUUAUAGACUUUCGGACGCGGGUUCAACUCCCGCCAGCUCCACCA